rnacentral:ncRNA from 2 species
UUUUGCUUCAUGUUGCAAGGUGUCCCCGCGGGAAGGUCGUUCCCCGGGGAUGAAACGGGAAACAGGUGCGCGCUCCCGAGCACGCUCGGGAAGCGGCAAUGCCUGUACUGCCCCCGCAACGGUAGGCGAGAGGGUGCACUACCCGGCCACUGCGAUGCCCAGUGCUCGCGGGAAGGCCGUGCACCCGGCGGACCCCUUCCGCCCGCUCGCGAGUCCGGAGACCGGCCUUGCAGCCCAGGUUCGG